ACCCUCGAAAUGUCUUACCCAUCAGGUCUGAACAUAGGUCUGAGUGGCUGUAAAAGGAGGAAGAGUGAAACUGAAAUGGAUUUGAAUUCUUUUGUGACAUACAAGUGGUUUUUUUUAAAAAAAAA
rnacentral:snoRNA from 1 species